rnacentral:rRNA from 1 species
AAUGAAUAAGUUUAAAUGGCCGCAGUAUUUUGACUGUGCAAAGGUAGCAUAAUCAUUAGUCUUUUAAUUGAAGGCUUGAAUGAAUGGUUGGACGAAGUAUAAUCUGUUUCAUUUAAAUUUAUUGUAGAAAUUUAUAUUUUAGUAAAAAAGCUAAAAUAUUUUUAAAAGACGAGAAGACCCUAUAAAUCUUUAUAUUUUAUUUUAUUUUUAUUUUUUAGAUUAAUUUUAUUUAAAUAAUUUAAAUUAUUUGGUUGGGGUGAUAUUAAAAUUUAAUAAACUUUUAAUUUAUUGAUUUCAUUGAUUUAUGUUUUAUUGAUCCAUUUAUAAUGAUUAAAAGAACAAGUUACUUUAGGGAUAACAGCGUAAUUUUUUUGGAGAGUUCUUAUUGAUAAAAAAGUUUGCGACCUCGAUGUUGGAUUAAGAUAUAAUUUUAGGUGUAGUUGCUUAAA